CUUUUGUCGAAGUUAAGCCCACACUAAUUUUUCUGUCAUUGUUGUCUUGUGGAUAUUCUGAUUUUGCAGACUAUCCUUCACAUAUAAGAAGGCAGAAGUAAGGUGAAGAUGUGGUGCAUAUCUUAAAGGUUUCUUUGGAUGACUUGUAUAAUGGCAAACCAAAGAAAUUCUCUCUCUCUCCGAAUAUUUUGUGUCUGAAAUGCAAAGGGUAUGCCUUUAUUUGUCACUCUGUUUACUUGUAUAUAACUUUAGGCAGUGGAUUACAGUGAUGUGGUGCUCUUUACUGGUUUUUAUUUUUUUGUUCAAUCUAAUUGCUACUCACAACAGCUACAUUGUAUUAGUAUUAGUUCUGUAUGGGAAAUCAAGCAGAAUAUGAAUAUUCUCUGCACUUCUUUGUUUGGUCUAAGGUAAGAACAUUUAUCAAUCAAUGUGACAUUUAUGGAUUCUUCAGAUAGUCAAUUAAUAUAUAUUUAUAUCCUCUUUUGUUUCUUCUAUAAUCUUAUCUUUCUCCAAUAAAGCUUCUCUAUUUCUUAUUCUCAUCUAUGUCAGUUUCAAGAACAUUGUGAAAAAUACCAGAAAGUUAUUAUUCACACAGAGCAAUUGACAGUGCCUAUCCAUCACCGUAAUAUGAUGCAGCCAAAUAACUGAGAUAUUGCGUGUAGGGCAGCCUUGUCUUUGUCACAUAUAUGUAUUGCACAAUGAAAUUUUAUUUAUUUAUGAAGAUAUUUAGUGUUUUCAA